CCGCCGUGUCCCUCCUACUCCCUCAGCACAGGCGCCCAGCGAGGGCGAGAGCCGCAUUCUUCUUAGCUGCAGACCGGGGGACGCCCCUCACUUUUGGACACCUCGAGCCUGCGUCCACGGUAAUCGACAGAGGAACUGGCUGUGGACCUUCACUUCUGCAUCACUUUUGUUUUGUGCUGUAGCUGAGUAUCAAAAACAAAACAAAACAAAAAUCACUACUUAUUCCUCAAAGAGAGAGAAAGAAUAUUUCCUUCAAUUUAAGCAUUCCUAAAUUGCCACCUGAUGGCCCCUGCACUCUAGGAGGAGGCCAAGGCAGAGCAGACCCUCAGGUGGGCGGGCAAUGCGCUUGACCCUGAGGACAUCAGGUACCCGGCCCCCCCCCAAUCCACUGCUGGCGCCCAAGUCACCCCUGCAGCCUAGACGUGGCAUGGGAGCAGCAAGUGGCUGAACAUCCCAGACCAGGCCCACACCCCCAGCAGCAAGAAUCCCCAGUCUGGGCGCCCAGGCGGCAAAGUCAGGUGGUCGGCCCACCAGCAGCGGCUCAUUAUCAUCGGCGUGGAUGCAGAGUGCUCAGCGCAGGGGGCCAGGAUCCGGACAGGUGUCCAAGAGGAGCGGACCCUCAGGCCGGAUGGGCUGUGCACUCGGCGACCGUGAUGCCACCCAACGGAGGCUCCACCAUCCCACACCAGUACCAGAGCUGCACCUGCAAACUGCGCAUCCGACAUGGGCAGCAGUGGGGGCCGGUGGGGGAAGGAGCAACCCCUGACUUUCCAUGCAUCUCCCGCUCCGUGACACCUGCUAGGCAGACCCUGGGGCCAGAGUUUCAGCGCUGAAGCCAGGCCAUCCGCGAAGCUGCUCCAGUGCUGCGGAGUGCCCAUGCCAGAUCCGAUCUCCCUUUGAGGAGUGGGGCGGCCGCAGGGUCAGACAGACCUCCCCCUCCUCCCUUACAAGAGAUAUGUAAGGAUUGAUAAUGUUCCAUCAGGAACUCAUGUUUGUGAUAUAAAAAGUGAGCCUGAGAUCCUGCACCUGUGGUCCUCGGGCAGCCCGGGCGAGCACGGGAGAACCCGGAGCCCACCUGUGCCUGCCCCGAGCUGCAGCCCCACCUGCAUGCGCGUGUCUGGGAGCGGCUUCCGGGAACCGGGCAGCCACCGUGGUGCAGGCGCGCGCCUAGGGGCUUUGCGGGGUUCCCUCAGUCUGAGAGCGCAGAGGCUGCGAGUGUUGCUGUUGAAGGCUGUGGUGGACCUGGCUGGAUCGCGGAUUCUGGGCUAGAAAGCAGAUUUGGGAUCGCAGAUUGGGGGUUGGCGCCAGGUGGGGGUGGGAGGUGCCAUGGCUCAGCAGCUAGUUGUUGGGGAUCUGAGAAGAAGUCACCACCUUGAAGAAGUUCCUCGGCUUCGGGAGCCAGAGACCAAGGCAGAGCAGAACCUCAGGUCCUGGGCUCCAUAGACCCCGUCUACACCGCUCUGGGCACCGAAUCCGGGACACGGAACCGCGGAAGAUCCACAGGGCGCUGUCAGGGGCGACGCCGCGGAGGUGGAGCUGCCUGGCGUGCAGGAGCGGAGACCUGGACGCCUGGGACAAGCCUCACAGAGCAGUCCUCAUGCUUCCUGUACAUUAUGGCUCAUCGGAUAUUUUCAAUACUUUUCUUCAGCAAAAUAUUAAUGUCUUUACUCAAGUUAUGCAUGUAUGAGAUGCAGAAGAUUAUGCUUAUCAUGGUUGACGAGGUGUUUGUAUUAAAAGGCCAGUUAAUACUAAAUUGAUGUUUAAAAUAAUGGCAAUCAUUGAAUCUUACAGAUUAGGUGAGAGUUCAUAGUUUGGUUCAGGUAGUUUGAAAUAGCAGGAGUUAGUCCACUUUUUAGCUAGAAGUCAAGCCGAAGGCUAGAUUAGUUAGAAGUAGAAUGCAAGUAUGCCUAGGGAUGUCAAUGUGGUUCAUUUUAUUCUAAGUGUAAUCCCAUGCAUCAGAUAAAAAUGAAGCCACAUAUUUGACUUCUUUUGUCUUCAUUUCUUUCUUCUUUUUUUUUUUUUUCUUUCUUUUUUUUUUGAGGCAGGGUCUCACUAUCUUGACUAGGCUAGUCUUGAACUCCUGAGCAUAAGUAAUCCUCCUGCCUUGGCGUCUCAAAGUGCUAGCUACCAUGCCUGGCCUGACUUUUCGAAUGAGUUAUUGGGUCUUGAAAUGUUCAAUUUAGCAGAAAAUUUUGUAUUGUCCCCUGGGGCUAUCUCCUGUGUCUUCCUUCUUUGAAUUUUCCAAGAAGCUAAGGUGUUUCCUAAGUCCAAGGAAGGCAAUCUUUCUUUACAAGUCAGAAGGGGGAGAAGAGACCAUUCUAAUUAUUCUGUUGUUUCCAUGGAUUCACUUCUGUAUUGUUGCCAUUGUAACUGGUCCUGCAAUCUGAUAAUCAUUGACUUUUGCCACCAGGAUGCACUCACUGAUUCAGACCCCUCAGUUUUCAUGGUGAUUCACACAUAGUGUUCAAAGCUACGGUGUUUAUUGUUUAUGUACUUACGCUCAGCCAUUGUUCUCAGCACCCUGCUCUGGGAGCUGGGCCUCCUAGCUUUAUCCACACAAAUAGUGAGCAAAUUGAUGCUUCCCCUACACUAAAAACAUUAUUUGGAGCCCACAUCUUAGCUAGACUUAUUAGCCUAGGCCUUCAUGGUAAGUUAUCCUUUGAGACCUCUGUUGGUCUUUUCUCUAAUAAAUAUUAGUUGAGAUUGUUCCCACCAGUCAGAGAUGUUCAAAUAAUGUUGCAGGAAGAGAUUAGCAUUCCCUUUCCCUUUUGCUAUCAGAUUUGUAUCUUGAGGUUUUUUUUAUAUCCUGUGCAGCAGCUUUGAUUAGACAGCAGAAGGUUCCAUGUUAUCUUUCCACAGAGCAAUGGGAACCAACUUGUAGUUGGCCCCUCAAGUAAUCCAUUUCUACAGUAGUACAAAUCUCCCAGGCAGUAGCACAUCUACCUCAAGUUUCAAGUAUAUUUUAAAGUUCCACUUCACAGGAAACCAUUCGAUAACAUUCUCUGAAUCUCAAGUAGGUGAGUUGGAUUGAACAGAGCUAAGCUUCAUCUAUGACUCAUGAGUGUCCAUGUAUAAAACAGGGCUUCGUACUUGUUUCGGCAGUGCAUACUUUAAAAUUAGAUCAAUAGAGAGCAGAUAAGCAUAAGCAUGGCUGCUGCCUGAGGAUGGCUCACAAAUUCAUAAAGCAUUCCAUAUUUUGCAUUGCCCCUGAAAAGUCAUUUGACUAUUUCUUGAUCAGCUCCAAGGAAGCAGUGUGAGUCAAACCAAAACAGGAGAUACCCAAUAUUAAAAUUGUGAUUAUCACUAUAAAACUAUUGAUGUACGUGAAGUAUGAAGUGAGAACAGGGCUGAGUAACAUAUGGGAUGUUACGUGAAAAUAUGUUGUUAGUCCAUGUCUUGGAAAUGGGAAAAUGUCAACUUGCAUUUCCUUCAUAAACCUUAAAAACAAUAAAAGCAGGGUUUUUCUCGUGUGUUAGUUGGAGAGGACCAUGGCAAUCCAGCAUCCUGGCACGGAUGCGCUGGCUCAGAGUUUGAAGAGGUAGAGAGGGAGUGGUGGUUGUCCAAGCCAGGUUUUGACUUGGCUUUAAUUUGUCUGUUAAUUUUCUGCUCUUGGUGUGAUUGACAAGCUCAGUAAUAGGGCACAAUUAUGUUAUCUAUUCUAAUGAGAUAACAUAUUCAUAUAUAAAUUUAGUUAUAAGUUGUGAAUUAGCUAAAAUACCCUGAAUUACAAGCCACAAUAAAUAGAGCUAAUAAACAAAAUUAGCACUUAAUAACAUUUUAUGAAAACUGCAACAUUUGAAUAUUAGAACCUAUGGAAAAACACACAUCAAGCUUCAUUUGGGACUCCAAAAUAGUUUCAGCCAUAAAGUUCAAGAAUAAGUUAUUCCAUUGCUCUCCUAUUUCUCUGGACAUUUAAGCAUGGAAUCUCAUUACAUCUUCCUAACAACCUAGUGAAGUAAGGUAGCAAAAUCCUUAUUUUUUAGAAGAAACCACGGAGCCUAAGAGAAGCAACUUGUCUGAACACAAAUACCUAUUGGUUACAGAGCAAGGACCUGUUCUGAGUGCAGGACACUUUGCGUGAUGUCCAGCUGACUAUAGUUAAUUUACUGAGCUGUGCUCCCUUCAUUUAUGAGUACUUCACUUUUUUUUAAUUAAAAGGUUAAUAAACUUGUAAAGCUUAAAAUUUUGAAGUG